CCUACGGGUGGCAGCAGUGAGGAAUAUUGGUCAAUGGGCGGGAGCCUGAACCAGCCAAGUCGCGUGAGGGACGACGGUCCUAUGGAUUGUAAACCUCUUUUGCCGGGGAACAAAGGCGCCCACGGGUGGGCGGAUGAGUGUACCCGCAGAAAAAGCAUCGGCUAACUCCGUGCCAGCAGCCGCGGUAAUACGUAGGGGGCAAGCGUUAUCCGGAUUUACUGGGGGGAAAGGGAGCGCAGACGGCUGUGCAAGUCUGGAGUGAAAGGCGGGGGCCAAACCCCCGGACUGCUCUGGAAACUGGAAAGCUGGAGUGGAGGAGAGGUAAGCGGAAUUCCUGGUGUAGCGGUGAAAUGCGUAGAUAUUAGGAGGAACACCAGUGGCGAAGGCAGCUUACUGGACUGCAACUGACGUUGAGGCUCGAAAGCGUGGGGAGCAAACAGGAUUAGAUACCCUUGUAGUC
rnacentral:rRNA from 1 species